rnacentral:rRNA from 1 species
UACGUAGGGUGCGAGCGUUGUCCGGAUUAUUGGGCGUAAAGAGCGUGUAGGCGGCCAGAUAGGUCGGUUGUGAAAACUGGAGGCUCAACCUCCAGACGUCGACCGAAACCAUCUGGCUAGAGUCCGGAAGAGGAGAGUGGAAUUCCUGGUGUAGCGGUGAAAUGCGCAGAUAUCAGGAAGAACACCAAUGGCGAAAGCAGCUCUCUGGGACGGUACUGACGCUGAGACGCGAAAGCGUGGGGAGCGAACAGG